UCUCCGUAGGUGAACCUGCGGAGGGAUCAUUACUGAGCGAGGGUCUCCCGGCCCGACCUCCAACCCUUUGUGAACACAUCUUGUUGCUUCGGGGGCGACCCUGCCGUUUCGACGGCGAGCGCCCCCGGGGUCAAUCAAACACUGCAUUCUCUGCGUCGGAGUAUUAGUAAAUCUAAUCAAAACGUUCAACAACGGAUCUCUUGGUUCUGGCAUCGAUGAAGAACGCAGC
rnacentral:misc_RNA from 1 species